GUGCUCACUUUGGCAGCACACGUACUAAACUGGAACAACACAGAGAUUAGAGCGGCUCUGGGCAAGGAUGACGCGCAAAUUCCUGAAGCUCUCCAUAAAAAA
rnacentral:snRNA from 1 species